GUCUGGUGAUUGACUUGAAUGACUUCAUCUCCCGCGUGGAUCUUCUUACAGCGGUCGGCCGGAGACUACAAGCCCGCAAGGAGCCGCAGAAAGACAAAACGUGUGAGUCGACACCGGCGAGAGUAUGGAUCGUCGCUUGGCACGAGCGAGAAAGUUAACGGCACUCAUGCACUCUGAUGUCACCGCUAUGCGACCUAAUAUGACGUCAGCUCGGAGAUAUUCUUGGAAACGGGUUACAAGAUCCCUCAACGUCUGGCGCGCGGCCACAGACACACAUUGCUCUAUUCAUUUCUUGGCUGUUACAUGUUAUUCGUUUUAUUUAUGCAUCAGAGAGAUUCUCACCCCCUCCGUCGUCCCCGUGAUCACAUGAAGACCGUCAAACUGUCACGGUUACCAGGCCGUCGGAGGCUUUGACGUUGGUGAGGUGGACCAGCUCCAGGUGGGUCGACUGAGACACCAGCGGAUCCGACGACACGCACACGAUGUGCUCGCACACCCCGGACAGAGUCUUGCACUGAAGCGUACAAAAUGACAGAUGCAAAAAAAAUUUCAACCGGACGACGGCGUGACACACAAGCCUGGAAAUGAUGACUGGGAGAGGAGCCUGCCCACAUACAGUAAGGUGUCAAUUGUGCGGUGACGCUUUGCUGACCGAGCUGCUGUGCUGCGCUGCCGGACUGCCAAAACAAUGAAUGUAUCCAGCCCCUGACCUCGGAGCAAACAUGCCCGGUGGAGGGCAAGUACGCACAUACAAGCCCAUAAACACACACACAUGCACACACUCUUUCUGUGAAGGAGCAAGCAUUGAUUUCCCCUGCUGCUCCAAGCCCGAGCUCCAUAACACACUCAUCUGUCAAAACCCCUCCAAGCCAGAUGCAAACACAAGGAAGGAAAGAGCGCGGAGGAAAAUUCAUAAAGCUGCUGUUAAAAUGCAAGCGCGCUUACACACACAGACACACACACACACACCAUAUCACACAAACAGUAACACACACACACACCCUUAUGGACAUUUGACAGAUAAGAAAAUACCCUAAAUAUGAUAUUCUUUCACUGUUUAGAGUUCACUGUUUAAAACAAAUGUUAAAAAUGUUUGUAUUUUGGGGGUGAUGC